ACCGGCUCAGUGCACGCCGGCUCACCAAACAGACUGCAUCUAUCCUCUAAUCCUAAAACUACACCGUUAAUAGCUUUAUUUUUAAAUGAUAACAGUUUGAAAGUACUUUAGAAAAGUGAUCUUGUGAAGUGUUUGGGACGGACUUUCGACAAGUGGUUACCAGGACUCGACAAAUACUUUUGAGAUGCCGUGGUGGUGUGAGAGUGUAUGGAAGAUGAAGAUGGUACCCCGGACUGCGGUACUAUUUGCCCUGUU